ACAUUUGUGCUCAAAUACGACCCUUUAUCAAGAAGCCUCAGCUAUAAAGACAGAUGGCAUAGAAUAUUUAGGCCCGUUGUUCUUGAGGGAUGUAGUACACAGGCUGCUUAAAUAGAUGUAACAGGAUGAAAUAAUAAGAUGUAGGGUCUGCUGAGUAAAGAGAUUCCAUCUUCAAAGGAUGCAUUAAAUACCUAUAUAGUAUGAUUAAACUCAUUGCUGGGAUUUUUAAGUUUCAGAGAGUGAGUACUCAGAUUUUUUAGACCUAGUUGCUUUAAUUCAGCUUUUGAUAUAUUUCUGAAGACCUUAAGUAAAAUAGGUCAUCUUUUCCUUCACAUGACAAUACAAAGGAUCCUAUCUUAGAAGAGUGGUCAAAAUCUGAAAAGAGAGUAUCAGUAUGGGGAAGACAACAAGUGAGAGCCCCUUUUUUUAUAAUAAAGAAACCAAGCCUUGGGUCUCCACACUGAAGGUGGAUGCUGCUGCUUUUUAG